rnacentral:lncRNA from 1 species
AUUCAGCGGCGUGUGAUACGUGAAUUGUGGAACCAGGCAUCUGCAGAGGGGCUCUCCCCCACCGAGGCCUGGGAGCUUCUCGUUUCUCCUCUUACCUUCUUCUUCCCUGCUGUCAUGCUGCCUCAUCUAAACCUGGUUAAUCUAUAAUUUGUGUACACACUGUUGAAUUGGAAGCCCGCCCUUCUCUCCCUCUGACAGCUUGGUGAUGUGGGCACACGUGCCCACUACAGCACAGCUAUAAAUAGCAGACAUCAUGAAAUAAGCCGGAUUGCCGUAACCAGUUCUGUGCAGACCAAUGGUUUCACGUGGAAGAUAAUCGCCGAUCGUAAGAUGCUAUUGUCAUUUCUUCCUACUUGCUGAUGUGUUACUACCAACGUUAAAGGUGGAGAUCAUGGUGGGUGAAAUACGAAAGAAAUCUUUAUGGAGGAGAGAAGCCAUAAGCUUGAACUUGAAGGAUGGCUUCUUCAAUUUCUCUAUUCCCUAAUUCCCAGCCUAUCGCAUUUCAACUGACUCUAAAACAGAGCCCUACCGGUAGGUUCAGGACCACGGAGAGCGUGAGGAAGGGGCGCUUCCAAAAUAUUCUCGUCAGUGACCCUAUGAAGAAGAUGUUACCCUCAAAUUGCACAUGAGUCUGCUACAGAAAAGGCUGCUGGAGCUCAAAGAGUCCUGGUGCCAUGAUUCCAAACUCUGGCUCCAAAGUCCUUGUGUUUGUUCCUUUUGCCUCUCUGAACUGACCCUGACUUUGAUAUAAUAAUCCCCCAAGGACAGAUUUCUGUGGAUAAAAACUAAACUUCCUUGGGACAGUCUAUCAAUGACAUCCAAUAAGCAUUCUUUUCAUAACGGCUAAUUAAACAAGUCACUAGGUAAAUUUUCCUUCUGUACUCAAUGCUUAGAUUUGGGGUAGAGGUUUUCUUAAACUGCCAGUUAAGGUACAUACCACCUCAUAAAUUUCAUUAGAGAGCAAUGUAGAAUAAUGGUUUCUCCCUCCAGCAGUGGGAGGCAUUGAAUUGUUUAAUCAGGAUAAUGACAAAGUUAGACUUUCAUGUUGGAUGGCUCACUCUUGUAGUUUUGGAGGAUGGAUUUAGAAUAAAGGAGAUUGGAGGCAGAGAGGUAAUUGACAUGGAAAUUUGUUGGGCAUCUACCCAUCAUUCACUUUCUCCAUUGUUUGCCAAGAGCAUCCUGAUAUCUUGCGGGUCAACUCAUAGAAUGGCUAUCGGUUUAGGCCUUAGAACUGGACCACCUU